GACGAACGCUGGCGGCGUGCCUAAUACAUGCAAGUUGAGCGCUGAAGGUUGGUACUUGUACCAACUGGAUGAGCAGCGAACGGGUGAGUAACGCGUGGGGAAUCUGCCUUUGAGCGGGGGACAACAUUUGGAAACGAAUGCUAAUACCGCAUAAAAACUUUAAACACAAGUUUUAAGUUUGAAAGAUGCAAUUGCAUCACUCAAAGAUGAUCCCGCGUUGUAUUAGCUAGUUGGUGAGGUAAAGGCUCACCAAGGCGAUGAUACAUAGCCGACCUGAGAGGGAGCUCCGCCACAGUGACAGUGACACACGCCACAAACCCCUACGGGAGGCAGCAAGAGGAAAUCUUCGGAAAGGGAAGAAAGUCUGACCGAGAAGCGGCGCGAGAGUGAAGAAGGUUCUCGGAUCGUAAAACUGUGUUGGUAGAAGAGCAUGGUGGAGAGUGGAAAGCUCAUCAAGUGACGGUAACUACCCAGAAAGGGACGGCUAACUACGUG
rnacentral:rRNA from 1 species